rnacentral:pre_miRNA from 1 species
AAUAAGUUUAUUUUUUAGUUUUUACAUACAAUAUUUUGACUCUUCAUCUUAUUUGAGUUUUUUUGUGAUUAAUGUUUUUUAUUGUUACUAGAUGGUAAAACAUGAAUAGUACUUUAGGCGUGACUAAUUUUUUUAAAGUUUUAUAUAAAUUUUUUAAAUAAGACGAAUCGUCAAACGUUGGACACAAAAAAU